UGGGGAAUCUUCCGCAAUGGACGAAAGUCUGACGGAGCAACGCCGCGUGAGUGAUGACGGCCUUCGGGUUGUAAAGCUCUGUUAAUCGGGACGAAUGGUUCUUGUGCAAAUAGUGCGAGGAUUUGACGGUACCGGAAUAGAAAGCCACGGCUAACUACGUGCCAGCAGCCGCGGUAAUACGUAGGUGGCAAGCGUUGUCCGGAAUUAUUGGGCGUAAAGCGCGCGCAGGCGGAUUGGUCAGUCUGUCUUAAAAGUUCGGGGCUUAACCCCGUGAUGUGAUGGAAACUGCCAAUCUAGAGUAUCGGAGAGGAAAGUGGAAUUCCUAGUGUAGCGGUGAAAUGCGUAGAUAUUAGGAAGAACACCAGUGGCGAAGGCGACGUUCUGGACGAAAACUGACGCUGAGGCGCGAAAGCCAGGGGAGCGAACGGG
rnacentral:rRNA from 1 species